rnacentral:rRNA from 1 species
UACGUAGGGGGCAAGCGUUGUCCGGAUUUAUUGGGCGUAAAGCGCUCGCAGGUGGUUCGUCGCGUCGUGCGUGAAAGACCCCGGCUCAACUGGGGGAGGUCGUGCGAUACGGGCGGACUGGAGGCCAGUAGGGGGAUGCGGAAUUCCGGGUGUAGUGGUGGAAUGCGUAGAGAUCCGGAGGAACACCAGCGGCGAAGGCGGCAUCCUGGACUGGUCCUGACACUCGUGAGCGAAAGCGUGGGGAGCGAUCCGG